CACGUAGGGCGCAAGCGUUUGUCCGGAAUUAUUGGGCGUAAAGAGCUCGUAGGCGGUCUGUUGCGUCCGCUGUGAAAACUCGGGGCUUAACCCCGAGCCUGCAGUGGAUACGGGCAGACUAGAGGUAGGUAGGGGAGAAUGGAAUUCCCGGUGUAGCGGUGAAAUGCGCAGAUAUCGGGAGGAACACCGGUGGCGAAGGCGGUUCUCUGGGCCGAUACUGACGCUGAGGAGCGAAAGCGUGGGGAGCGAACAGG
rnacentral:rRNA from 1 species